rnacentral:rRNA from 1 species
UCGGGAAUUUUGUGCAAUGGGCGAAAGCCUGACACAGCAACGCCGCGUGAAGGAUGAAGUCCCUCGGGAUGUAAACUUCGUAAGAAUAGGAAGAAUAAAUGACGGUACUAUUUGUAAGGUCCGGCUAACUACGUGCCAGCAGCCGCGGUAAUACGUAGGGACCAAGCGUUGUUCGGAUUUACUGGGCGUAAAGGGUGCGUAGGCGGCAUAUCAAGUCACUUGUGAAAUCUCCGGGCUUAACUCGGAACUGCCAAGUGAUACUGAUGUGCUAGAGUGCAGAAAGGGCAACUGGAAUUCUUGGUGUAGCGGUGAAAUGCGUAGAUAUGCGGAGGAACACCGAUGGCGAAGGCAAUCCCCUGGACCUGUACUGACGCUCAUGCACGAAAGCGUGGGGAGCAAACAGGAUUAGAUACCCAAGUAGUCCCUGAGCGGGCUGGCAAGGCGCAU